UAGCGAAAGCUUAUUGUAUUAAUACAAUAUUAACUCUGUUAAAUAAAAUUCUAGGUAUAUUUAUGAUUAUGACAUUGUAUGCUUAUAAGUCUUGACUAAGUCACGUGCCAGCAGUCUCGGUAAUACGUGGAAGACAAGUGUUAUUCAUCUUUAUUAGGUUUAAAGGGUACUUAGACAGCUAAUUCAGCUUAUUAACAAUAAGGACUAAUUAUGCUAGAGUUUUUAUAUGAGGAAAGUAGUACGGUGAGCGUAGAGAUGAAAUUCUUUGAUCCAACUUGGAGACUGAUAAAGGCGAAGGCGGCUUCUUAUGUAAAACUGACGUUGAGGGACGAAGGCUCGAGUCGAAAUAACAGGAUUAGUUACCCCAGCAUUCUGAGCAGACAAUGAUGAAUGUCAUAUAUAAGACAAAAUAAUUUCCAUAAUAGUCAAAAUGUUUUCUAUAUAAAUGAAAGUGUAAGCAUUCCACCUCAAGAGUAAUAUGGCCUCAUAUAAACUGAAAUCAUUAGACCGUUUCUGAAACCAGUAGUGAAGUAUGUUGUUUAAUUUGAUAAUCCACGGAAAACCUUACCACAAUUUGUAUAUUUAUAAUAUUUUUAUAAAUACAAGCGUUGCACGGCUGUCUUCAGUUGAUGUCGUGAGAUUUUGGUUAGCUCCAUUAAAUCAACGUAAACCCUUGCUUUAUUUAAUUAUAUAAAGCAGUUCGCCGCUAUAUUGGUUGUGAUAUAUGGGAUUAAGACAAGUCAUCAUGACCUUAAUAUUGU
rnacentral:rRNA from 1 species